rnacentral:rRNA from 1 species
GACGAACGCUGGCGGCGUGCUUAACACAUGCAAGUCGAACGGAGAGGCCCUGCCUUGGUGGGGUGCUCGAGUGGCGAACGGGUGAGUAACACGUGAGUAACCUGCCCUUGACUUUGGGAUAACUUCAGGAAACGGGGGCUAAUACCGGAUAGGAGCUCCUGCUGCAUGGUGGUGGUCGGAAAGGUUCGGCGGUUGGGGAUGGACUCGCGGCUUAUCAGCUUGUUGGUGGGGUAGUGGCUUACCAAGGCUUUGACGGGUAGCCGGCCUGAGAGGGUGACCGGCCACAUUGGGACUGAGAUACGGCCCAGACUCCUACGGGAGGCAGCAGUGGGGAAUAUUGCACAAUGGGCGGAAGCCUGAUGCAGCAACGCCGCGUGCGGGAUGACGGCCUUCGGGUUGUAAACCGCUUUCGCCUGUGACGAAGCGUGAGUGACGGUAAUGGGUAAAGAAGCACCGGCUAACUACGUG